UUUUUGGAGAGUUUGAUCCUGGCUCAGGACGAAAGCUGGCGGAGUGCCUAAUACAUGCAAGGCGAGCGGACUUGACGGAUCUUGCUCUGUUCAAGUCAGCGGCGGACGGGUGAGGAAAACGUGGGAAUCCUGCAC
rnacentral:ncRNA from 1 species